rnacentral:tRNA from 1 species
ACCAGUAUAGUUUAAAUAGAAUGAUUCUUUUGUAAUGAAUUGGUAAAUGAUUAUGUAUUUUAUUGGUU